rnacentral:rRNA from 1 species
GGGGAAUAUUGCACAAUGGGCGCAAGCCUGAUGCAGCGACGCCGCGUGAGGGAUGACGGCCUUCGGGUUGUAAACCUCUUUCAGUACCGACGAAGCGCAAGUGACGGUAGGUACAGAAGAAGCACCGGCCAACUACGUGCCAGCAGCCGCGGUAAUACGUAGGGUGCGAGCGUUGUCCGGAAUUACUGGGCGUAAAGAGCUCGUAGGCGGUUUGUCGCGUCGUCUGUGAAAACCCGCAGCUCAACUGCGGGCUUGCAGGCGAUACGGGCAGACUUGAGUACUGCAGGGGAGACUGGAAUUCCUGGUGUAGCGGUGAAAUGCGCAGAUAUCAGGAGGAACACCGGUGGCGAAGGCGGGUCUCUGGGCAGUAACUGACGCUGAGGAGCGAAAGCGUGGGUAGCGAAC